UUCAGAGCUGGAGGGAAAACAGCUGUUCCUGGAUCACACCGGAAUGGAGAACCAAGCUCCUCCCCCUAACAGACUGCCUCUGCUUGCUUUGCCUGGAAUAGGAGGAUGCUUUUAGAACUGGAAGGGGAAAAAACAGACAGGGAAUCCAAAGCCCCAAAAAUUUUGGUAAAAGGCAGAAAAUGUGGCAGAGCUGAGAUAAUCCAGCAGGAACUAUUCCAGAAGGCACACUGUCUCCUGAAUUGGCCAAACCCUCUGGAACCUUACAGAUUGGGCAUGGGAUAGAGUGGGAGGAAAAAAGCAUGUGGAACUUCCAGGGCCAAGGACUGAACCUGUGCCAGAGUAGACACCCAGACUGCUGUAGUGACAAUGCUGGAUUUUUAACCCAUUGCGCUGCAGGAGAACUCCAUGAAUGAGCUCCUUUGAAUCAACUUCUCAAUGGUAAACAAUGACUCUCCUUUAGAUUACAGAUUCCUUUUGGGGUCUAUUUCUAUUUAAAUUUCCUUUAACUUUCCUCCUUAAAACAUAGGAUAUUUUUUAUGUUUCUGUUUUUAGAUAAGAUAAGAGAAACCCAAGUAAUCAAAUUAUGGCAAAGAAGGAGUUUUACAUACAUAUAGUACUGGCUAUUAAAGGUUUGAAAAUGGUUUGUGUAUUUUUCUUUUAUGUUACCAAAAUUUAAAGCAAGAAAUAGACCUACUUAAAUAUUUAAAUUUCCAAUUUCAACAAGAAAUCUAACAGAUGUUUCACAGAUAUGUCUUUAAGUACAUGUACCAGAAGGAAGAAGAACAAAGAUUUUUACAUGAUUUCAUCAUCAAAAGAAAAAACUGAUUUAUAUUAAAAGUCUGAUGAUAUUAAUCAAAUGUGUAUAGCUGAUUUUCGAGUAAGAAAACAGCAUAUACUUGCAAGACCAUCAAGAUUAGACAAAACAAUAUGAUACUUAAAUACAUACACACAUAUACAUGUAAUGCAGAUGUUACAUACAGUAAAGAAAGAAUAGUAGUGAAGCUAUUUGCUAAGUGUUUUCAAUGUAAAAGAGAUCUGCUUUUAAUGCCUUAGUUUAUUUCUGUGUGUCUAUAGCAACAAUCAAUUGAGAAUUCAGUCUACUGGUUGAUCUUGGAUUAAGGUCUUAACCUAUAGGGUACAUUUAAAUAAUUAAAAAACGCUCUCAAGAUAAUGUUAAAUAUUAAUGGAUUGCGAUGACGGGACAGACUGAAAUGACAUUCUAUAAAUAGAAUUCUCUUUUAUCUUUUGUUACAUAAAUAGCUUAUGCUCAUUGAAGAAAAGUGUGUAAAAGAAAAAGGAAGAAACAAAUAAAAUUUCAGUAUGUCUAAUAUUCUUUUCAAGCAGCACGCAAUGCAGCCACAUAAGCUUGCAUCUGAUCUUUCACUCUGCUUGCGCUCUGCACUCUGCUCUGGAAGAGAUAAGGAUUAGCUGUACCUACCCUGUAAAUUGGUGAAAAUGGAUUGAGCUAAUGUGUGUAAAUCACCACUACGAUGACAAAUGCGGCAUAGGACGAAAUAAUGUUUGCAGAAGUAAAGAAUGGAUCUUAGUUCUGGACACUGACGAACCCUGACAGUAUGAGAAGAAAGUGAGUUAUAAAAACUUUUCCAGUUAAGCAGAAAACCUCCAAAACAAAAAUCAAGCAUCCGAUGGAUUCUACCUAGACGCAAAGGAGAAUUGGCCCAAGGGUCUCUUACUUAUUACUAAUUUCUCAAAACAGUUUAUUAAAAACCAUUCAAUGUUAUUGUCUAUAAAAUUAAAACUCUCUAAGAAAGGAUUGGCAUCAAGAUGUGAAGCUGAAGGAGGGAGGUCCACCACCCACAAUGUAUGCAUUGUACCCGCUUCAUCCUUUACACUGGAAAUCCAAGUUUGAAAAUUUGAAACAAAUUCCAAGAGCCAAAGGUGUCAGAGAUGAAAAUAUUCAAAAACAUAAAAAUCCUUCUAAAACAAUUCUCUUCCUUUCUCUAUCACUAAAGUCAGCGCUAUUAGAAUAGCUUCCCCCCAAAUCUAUCAGAGUGCAUCGGUACUGCCAGCUGCAUCUUAGGUCAUCGAUGGAAGUAGCUGAUGAGCUUUCGGUGUUGUUGUAUGUAUACAGUAUUUAGUUAAUAGUCACAUAUAUGCGUGUAAUUUUUGACAAUGUUUAACAUAAGUAUAUUGAAAAGAAAAUCAUGGACAUGGAGAACAAACUCGUGGUUGCCAAGGGAGAGGGGGAGGGAGUAGG